AGCGGGGGUCUGAAGCUGGCGACAGGUAGUCAGAGGUUAAGAUGAAAAGACAGCAGCAGCUUAGUUUAAGUGAUUUCUUUCUCAUGGGGAAGAAAAGAAAGAAAGGAAAUAGAUCAGAUGAAGUUCAGCUGGAAACUAACAGUGGUG
rnacentral:lncRNA from 1 species